rnacentral:rRNA from 1 species
UACGUAGGGGCCUAGCGUUGUCCGGAAUUAUUGGGCGUAAAGAGCUCGUAGGCGGUCUGUCGCGUCUGCUGUGAAAACUCGGGGCUUAACCCCGGGCCUGCAGUGGGUACGGGCAGACUAGAGUGCGGUAGGGGAGACUGGAAUUCCUGGUGUAGCGGUGAAAUGCGCAGAUAUCAGGAGGAACACCGGUGGCGAAGGCGGGUCUCUGGGCCGUAACUGACGCUGAGGAGCGAAAGCGUGGGGAGCGAACAGG